AAAACGAACAUCAUAAUAUAUUACAUUACUCGGCUGAUGUAUCGAUUAUUUAUACUUGUCAUAUGUGGCAACCCUGGACAGAUGUUUCGUGAUGAAAACAAGUACAUUUCAGAAUGGCGACGUAACAUUUGCGGUUGUAAUGUAAAUAAACUUUCAGAAAAUCUAAAACCAAAUUAUCAAUUUGAAAAAGGUAUCCACCUUGGAAAACGUGAUAUUUAACCCCUUGUUAAACACUAUAAAGAUGAAUUCGUUGCGAUUCACCCUACGUUCAUUAUUCUCCAAAGCCAAUGAUGUAGUACACAACUGCGAGCUGUCAGAGUUUAGUGUCCAAUUCAACCAAAACAAAGCUUUCGUAAGGUACACAUUAGACGAUAGCAGAAAAAGCAUUGUAGUAAAUCAUACCGAGGUACCGCAAAUUUUUCAAGGACGGGGUGUAGGUAAACAAUUGGCAGAGGCCAUUAUUCAGUAUGCGAUACAAGAAAAAUUGAAAAUAUCCUUCGAUUGCAAGUUUACCGAAAAAUACUACAAUGAACAUAAAAAUCGAUUUUUAGGUUGAUCGGGAUCAUCUUUAAGCUUGUAUUUACGAAACAAUAUAAAUCAGGUUUUCCAUAAAUCAACAUACACGUACAGAAUACACAACGGCCGCUUACAGAAAAAGCGAGAAGCUAAACUAAACUGUAGUAAAUGUGAGAACCUUAUAUUCCGUAUUACAAUUUUCCAACAUUCACUAUAAACACGAAUCCCGGAUGACUUUGCACUCGCUGAGAGUCAGUUCUCAAAAACAUAAAUGCUUUUUCUUUCGUCAUGUGUUUAAAUUAACAGAUUUCUCUUGUCUACCUAAAAGCAAAGCCGUGGUAUUACAUUUCUGUAGCGGAAUUUGACCUUCUGUUUCAACAGACUUCGUAGCCUAUUCAGAGUGUACAGAACCCAUGCAUGGUUGGUGCUACGAUUCUACUGACACUGCGAAUCCUUCCAGGUCGGGACUCGAACAUACGACAACUGGUUUGUAAGACCAGUGCGCUAUACAUUAACCGCCAACCCGGGACAUCUACCUACUCCCUUUCAUUUGUUGUUAGCAGCGAUGCCAUAAUCAGUGCUAUAUUGACGGAUGAGUGUACUAUACCCUAGAGUGCCUAUAAACAGAGUGACGACAGCUGUUCGUUUGGAAUGACAGAUUUGUUCCAAACGAGCAAACGACCUGUCAAAUAUAAUGCGAAACUAACGCGACUGCCAACAUUUCGGAUUAAAUGUAUUGAACUGUUGCCAACAUUACGGAUGACAUGUCACUCUGGUUGUAGGCACUCUACGAUACCCUAUACAUACAUGAUUGUGUGCAGGCCGAAAAUUCGACCCCAGAGGAAUUGCAACAUUACAGGUCCCUAUACAUGAGAAUAAACCCUCCGUGUAUUUCUCAAACAAAACGCGACUCUCGCAUUAAUUGCACCUUAAGACCUUUCCGCACUCGGCCGGGGAAGCCCAUCAGGCAGGUUCUUUUCUCUUCGACUUUGACAGCGUGCUGUUUGUGCUUGUAUUGGUAUAACGGUCGCAACGAUACACAAAUUUGAAUCAUUGAAUAUUUUGUUAUUAUUAAGAAUAAUAAACACUGUUAAAUCCU